rnacentral:rRNA from 1 species
AGCGGUGGAGCAUGUGGUUUAAUUCGAAGCUACGCGAAGAACCUUACCAGGUCUUGACAUCUUCUGCCAACCUAAGAGAUUAGGCGUUCCCUUCGGGGACAGAAUGACAGGUGGUGCAUGGUUGUCGUCAGCUCGUGUCGUGAGAUGUUGGGUUAAGUCCCGCAACGAGCGCAACCCUUAUUACUAGUUGCCAGCAUUCAGUUGGGCACUCUAGUGAGACUGCCGGUGACAAACCGGAGGAAGGUGGGGACGACGUCAAAUCAUCAUGCCCCUUAUGACCUGGGCUACACACGUGCUACAAUGGAUGGUACAACGAGUCGCGAAACCGCGAGGUUUAGCUAAUCUCUUAAAACCAUUCUCAGUUCGGACUGUAGGCUGCAACUCGCCUACACGAAGUCGGAAUCGCUAGUAAUCGCGGAUCAGCAUGCCGCGGUGAAUACGUUCCCGGGCCUUGUACACACCGCCCGUCACACCAUGAGAGUUUGUAUCACCCAAAGCCGGUGGGGUAAC